UCCAAUAUUUGCAAUGUCUGACUCCUCCCCGGAUCAGGAUACUUAAGAACACAGAAUAAACAUCGCUGGAUGAAGUGGAUAGCCUGUUUACCCUAAACAACUUAAUCAAAAGGCUACUUUUUAAGAGGGGGCUGACAGGAGCCAGUUUAUUCAGUGUGUUUGAGGGAGCAGACGAGAAACUUGUGCUGUGCUCUGAGUUGAUGAAAUAGUGUGUGUUGAGCUGAAGGAGAAGAUGAAGAGCUGUCUGAUGCUGAUGUUUCUGUGUUAUAUGGUAAAACUCAUCAUCUCUGACAGUGUGAGUGUGAGGUUGGUGAAUGGCAAUAAUCCCUGUGCUGUAGAGUUUAGAUUCUCUGCCCGAGACCGAGCCCAGACUUGACCCGACCCGACCCGUGGGCCGGGUCGGGCCGAUAUUUCCUGCCACUAUCUUCGGGCCGGGCCGGGCCGGGCCGGGCCGGGCUGGGCGGGGCCAUGAUCAAGCAUUUGUGUGUGUGUUUUUUUUUUAAUCAUUACUUAAUUAGCCUAAUUGGGUGGAGAGCUAUGCCAUAAUUAUAAAUAUUAUACGAAUAUUUUAGCAAAGUCGGCCUGAGCAACACGUGUAGGUCUACAAAGUUGCGCAAUUUGCAACGCGUGUCAUGCGCAGCAACGCUCUAGCUCCCGCGACAGCGUCUCCUCCACUUGCACACAUAACACCGGGCCAGCUGUGCUGUAUUGUGUAUGUGUAUAGCCUAAGUGCAACAUGGAGCUUGAAGACGUACAGAA